UUCUCGCUUUGGACAUUUCAUGAAAUGCCGAGCUGAAGUGGAUCCGAUGUGGUCUCUCACGUGUCGUCUGAUGAUCCGGUGCAACCCGGAUCUACCAUUCUAAAGGUAGAUCUUCUUCCUCACUCGAUAACCUAAAGCACCAAAGAGAAGAGCAGCUGCCGCCUAGAGGAGAACACCCGGAUCUACCAAUCCAGCGAUGACCGGAGAGGGGAUUUUUCACCGAAGGGAAGAGCAUCUGCCGCCGGUGAGAAGGUUUUAGAGAGUGUUGCCGCAUCUGAGUGUUUCUCACCGCCGGUAUGUUCUCUGAGUGUUGCCGCAUCUAUUUUCGUCAUGUUAUUUUUAAUAUUUUUCGUCAGUCUUCAACAUACCAGUAAUAUCAUAGAUCAAUAUGAUAAAAAAAGUUGAAUUUAGUGGAUGUGUCUUGGAUAUUUUACAAAAACAGAUCUGGAUGGGUUUUGAAUUUAGCAGACGUUUUUACGGUCAACGCUGAGAGAGAGAGAGGGGGAGAGAGAGUAAAUACUAAAUACUAAUACAGGGGAAAUGUAGAGUAUAUUUGCGGUCAAUGGGUGGUGCCGGUCAAUGGGUGACUGGUUUUGGCUCUCUUUUUCUAUGGAUCUUCGUGGGAAUUGGUGAAGAAGCUGGGUAUUUAUGAAUUUUCCGGCUGGUAUUAAGAGGGUAGUCGAGGAGGAAGUUUGAAUACUAUUGAAGAAUUCUUUGUCUGCUAUUUUUGAGUUUUAUUCAAAGCUUUCUGAGGAAAAAAUGGCGGUGAGUUUUACUUUUUGUUUAUCUUUUUUAUCUGCAGUUGAGGUUUCUUAAUGUGGGUUUCUUGGGUUUUGAUUACUGGCAAUGAUGGAAUUGGAUUACUGAAUUGAAUUCUGUUGCUUCCUUCUUUCUCUUAAUUUUGUAUUGGUUGCCUGGUUGGGGGUUGGAAUUUAGAUGGUACUUGCUCAUUCUUUAUAUGUUUUGAUAGGGGAGAAGGAAAUUGGGCAAAGAUUUCACAAUGAUGUAGGCUUAUAUACAAAAACUUAUCUGACUUAUUAUCAUCGCAAAUUUGUUAGUAUGAAAUACAUAAGGAGUUUGUGCUUCUAUUUUUAUUAA